rnacentral:lncRNA from 1 species
AAAAACGAUGUUUCAGUCAUUAAUUUUACACGAGAAUCAUUCCUAUUCGACCCUAGGUAUUUUCCUAGGUUUAAUUCAUAACUUUUGGACUCAAAUCCGAGAUUCUAACUCCUGUAGUCCUUUUGUUCUUCACCUAAAUUUCCGAUGUGGAGCUCCGCAAGGAACUCGAUAAUUUUAAGGUCGCUUGUGAAGGAAAAAUUUGUGAAAACAUGUUCAUUUAAGCAACAUCAUAUAGCAUGCAAUUAACAAUUAAAGGCGGAAUCAUGCUAGCA